CACGUAGGGUGCGAGCGUUGUCCGGAAUUAUUGGGCGUAAAGAGCUCGUAGGCGGUGUGUCGCGUCGGCCGUGAAAACCUGCAGCUUAACUGUGGGCUUGCGGUCGAUACGGGCAUCACUGGAGUUCGGCAGGGGAGACUGGAAUUCCUGGUGUAGCGGUGAAAUGCGCAGAUAUCAGGAGGAACACCGGUGGCGAAGGCGGUUCUCUGGGCAUGUCCUG
rnacentral:rRNA from 1 species